UACGUAGGGGGCGAGCGUUGUCCGAAGUUACUGGGCGUAAAGCGCGCGUAGGCGGGUUGUUAAGUGAGGGGUGAAAGGUUCGGGCUCAACCCGGACACUGCCUUUCAUACUGGCGACCUUGAGUUUUGGAGAGGCGAGUGGAAUGGUCGGUGUAGCGGUGAAAUGCGUAGAUAUCGAUCGGAACACCCAUGGCGAAGGCAGCUCGCUGGCCUAAGACUGACGCUGAGGCGCGAAAGCGUGGGGAGCAAACAGG
rnacentral:rRNA from 1 species